ensembl:lncRNA
GAGUUCAACACCCCAUCAUUCCAUCAGAGGUGGCAGUUUUUCCCUUAUAACGGGACCCUGAUUAUAAACCCUGCUGAGAGGAGAGAUGCAGGAACAUACAGAGUGGAGAUCUCUGAAGAGUCAUCAGGGAAGGGAGUGGGAGGGCACACAGUACAGCUGAUCAUUGAAGCCCCUGUGUCUGAUGUGGACCUGUCAAUCAGCUGCUCAGCCAAUGAGGAGAGGGAGGUGAGGUGCUCCUCCCAAUGGGGACAGUCCUCAGUACAGCUGGUCUCUGGAUGGGAGGCCUCUGAGUGAAGCUGAUGCUGAUCUCAGUACAGAUCCUCAGACUCUCCUGCUGAGUGGGAAUGUGACUGGAGAACUCACCUGCAGCGUCUCAAACCACGUCAGCAGCACAAACACCUCAGCUCUGCUGCUGGAAGCCUGCUCUGGUACCUCCACUGUGUCUGUCCCACCAACUAACCAGACUAACACGACUCUUCUCUCUACCCACCCAGGUACCUCAGAGACGGUAAUAGUUAUUUGUGUGUUAUUAUCCCUGACUGUGUGUCUGUGUGUCGCUGUGGGGAUGUUCUACAUCAGAAUGAAAAAGAGGAACACACACACUCCAGUGAGUGAAAAGAAAGAGCCUGACGAUUUGGUGUACGUCCAGGUGACCACUAGUAGCAACGGCAGAAGACAAAUAUCAGACAUUCAAGGUACAAGAGUGGAAACAGAGGAUGUGGUGUAUUCUGGCGUUGCCAUGGCAAAUAGGAGCAGCAGGCAUAAAAGCAGGAAGCCACCAGCAGCUGAGGCGUAUGAGUUGGAGUAUGCUGAGGUGUCUGCCUUCAGUAAGCGAUGGGGCCCAACUGAGAGUCACAGGCCAGAGGAGUCGGUUGAGUACGGGGAAGUGAGAGUCCACACACCACACUGACUCACAGCAGGCAGACAGUGUGUAUGCUCAAAUGCACCUCGGACAGUGACGUGUGUGUGUGUGUGUGUGUGUGUGUGUGUGUGUGUGUGUGUGUGUGUGUGUGUGUGUGUGUGUGUGUGUGUGUGUGUGUGUGUGUGUGUGUGUGUGUGUGUGUGUGUGUGUGUGUGAACCUGUGGAGGCAUGUAGCAGAGUGUGUGUCUGUUCCUCAUAGCAGGUUAAUGUGGAGGUUAAAUACCUGACCACAGCAGACACAACUAACCAAGGGUACUAUAAUGGUGGAAUUAUGUGGUUAAUUAGGUUACUAUCAUGAUGAAAUUAUGUAGUUAAUCAG